rnacentral:tRNA from 1 species
UCCCUGUUGGCUUAGCUGGUAAAGCAUCUGCCUGCAAUGCAGGAGACCUGGGUUCGAUCCCUGGGUUGGGAA